rnacentral:rRNA from 1 species
UGGCAGGUACAGAGGGAUGCUACCGGGCGACCGGAUGCGGAUCUCGAAAGCCUGUCCCAGUUCGGACUGGAGUCUGCAACCCGACUCCACGAAGUUGGAUUCGCUAGUAAUCGCGCAUCAGCCAUGGCGCGGUGAAUACGUUCCCGGGCCUUGUACACACCGCCCGUCAAGCCAUGGGAGCCGGGGGGCGCCUGAAGUCCGGGACCGCGAGGACCGGCCUAGGGGCGAAACUGGUAACUGGGGCUAAGUCGUAACAAGGUAGC